rnacentral:rRNA from 1 species
CUGUUAAAAAGCUCGUAGUUGGAUCAAGAGUUGGACAGUGCACGGUGGCCCUGUUUGUCAUAGUGGUUCCGAUCACUGUGACGGCAGCGGAUCAACCCCGUGCGCCAAACUGUCCACUCUAACAGACCGAAACGGUUCCCUGUGAGUAGGCUCCUUAAUUGGGGCUGAAAGCGCUUACGCAUCUACCAUAUGCAUACGGGACGUCGGUCAAUGUUACUGUGAACAAACCAGCGUGUCCAAAACAGGCUUUCGCCUGAAUGUUCGAGCAUGGAAUAACAAGGGAUCGAUUCUCUCGGUUCUUUUUGUUGGUUUUUAACCCGAGAAGGAGUAAUUCAGUCCACGGUGUCUGAGUUGGGUUUCCCUUCACCUCGGUGGAGGCCCCAAUUAGGCCGUGUACUUACGGGAUAAAUAGGGACUGACGGGGUCGUACGUACUUCCACGUCAGAGGUGAAAUUCUUAGAUCGUGGGAAGACGAACUUCUGCGAAAGCAUUCGACAAGAAUGUCUUCAUUAAUCAAGAACGAGAGUGUGGGGAUCGAAGAUGAUCAGAUACCGUCGUAGUCCACUACUGUAAACAAUGCCGUCUCAGGAUUGAGAAGUGAACAGAAUGACUUUCACAGCACUAACCCCUGAAACGAGAAAUC